rnacentral:rRNA from 1 species
UACGGAGGGGGCUAGCGUUGUUCGGAAUUACUGGGCGUAAAGCGCACGUAGGCGGACUGUUAAGUCGGGGGUGAAAUCCUGGGGCUCAACCUCAGAAUUGCCUCCGAUACUGGCAGUCUCGAGUGCGGGAGAGGUGAGUGGAAUUCCCAGUGUAGAGGUGAAAUUCGUAGAUAUCAGGAGGAACACCGAUGGCGAAGGCAGCCCCCUGGGCUAACACUGACGCUCAGGCACGAAAGCGUGGGGAGCAAACAGG